CAACCGUCGUGCCGGGAGCCGCGGUAAAAGGGAUGGGGCAAGCGGUGUGCGGAGUUAGUGGGCGGAAAGAGCUCGUGGGGGGCUCAGUAAGUCGGGUGUGAAACCUCCAGGCGCAACCUGGAGACGCCACCCGAUACUGCGGUGGCUAGAGUGCAGUAGGGGAGCAUGGAAUUCCUGGUGUAGCGGUGAAAUGCGCAGAUAUCAGGAGGAACACCAGUGGCGAAGGCGGUGCUCUGGGCUGGAACUGACACUGAGGAGCGAAAGCGUGGGGAGCGAACAGGAUUAGAUACCCGUGUAGUC
rnacentral:rRNA from 1 species